CGUAUGUUCCAAGCGUUAUCCGGAUUUAUUGGGCGUAAAGCGAGCGCAGACGGUUAUUAAGUCCGAAGUGAAAGCCCACAGCUUAACUGUGGAAGUGCUUUGGAAACUGGAUAACUUGAGUGCAGUAGAGGAGAGUGGAACUCCAUGUGUAGCGGUGAAAUGCGUAGAUAUAUGGAAGAACACCAGUGGCGAAGGCGGCUCUCUGGACUGUAACUGACGUUGAGGCUCGAAAGUGUGGUAGCAAACAGGAUU
rnacentral:rRNA from 1 species